rnacentral:rRNA from 1 species
AUUGAACGCUGGCGGCAGGCUUAACACAUGCAAGUCGAACGGUAACAUAAGAAAAGCUUGCUUUUUUUGAUGACGAGUGGCGGACGGGUGAGUAAUGCUUGGGAAUCUGCCUUAUGGAGGGGGAUAACUACGGGAAACUGUAGCUAAUACCGCAUAAUAUCUACGGAUUAAAGUGUGGGAUCUUCGGACCACAUACCAUAAGAUGAGCCCAAGUGAGAUUAGGUAGUUGGUGAGGUAAAGGCUCACCAAGCUGACGAUCUCUAGCUGGUUUGAGAGGAUGACCAGCCACACUGGGACUGAGACACGGCCCAGACUCCUACGGGAGGCAGCAGUGGGGAAUAUUGCACAAUGGGCGCAAGCCUGAUGCAGCCAUGCCGCGUGAAUGAAGAAGGCUUUCGGGUUGUAAAGUUCUUUCAUUAGUGAGAAAGGUGCAAAUGUUAAUAGCAUUUGUAAUUGAUGUUAGCUAAAGAAGAAGCACCGGCUAACUCCGUGCCAGCAGCCGCGGUAAUACGGAGGGUGCGAGCGUUAAUCGGAAUAACUGGGCGUAAAGGGCAUGCAGGCGGUUACUUAAGUCAGAUGUGAAAGCCCCGAGCUUAACUUGGGAAUUGCAUUUGAAACUGGGUAACUAGAGUCCUCUAGGGAGGGGUAGAAUUCUACGUGUAGCGGUGAAAUGCGUAGAGAUGUGGAGGAAUACCGAAGGCGAAGGCAACCCCUUGGAGAGAGACUGACGCUCAUAUGCGAAAGCGUGGGUAGCAAACG